rnacentral:rRNA from 1 species
ACCAGCGGCGAUAGCACGUUGAAUGCACCAGUUCCCAACGGAUCACUGAAGUUAAGCAACGUUGCGCGUGGUUAGUACCUGGAUGGAGACUAUCCGGGGUCUGCGUGCUGCUGGGU